rnacentral:rRNA from 1 species
UACAGAGGUCCCAAGCGUUGUUCGGAUUCACUGGGCGUAAAGGGUGCGUAGGUGGUGGGGUAAGUUUGAUGUGAAAUCUCCGAGCUUAACUCGGAAAUGGCAUUGAAUACUACUCUGCUGGAGGGUCGGAGGGGAGACUGGAAUUUUCGGUGUAGCAGUGAAAUGCGUGGAUAUCGAAAGGAACACCAGUGGCGAAAGCGAGUCUCUGGACGACUCCUGACACUGAGGCACGAAAGCUAGGGGAGCAAACAGGA